rnacentral:rRNA from 1 species
UACGGGGGGAGCAAGCGUUGUCCGGAAUCAUUGGGUGUAAAGCGCGCGUAGGUGGCUUGGUAAGUCCGCUGUGAAAGUCAAAGGCUCAACCUUUGAAAGCCGGUGGAUACUGUGAGGCUAGAGUACGGAAGAGGCGAGUGGAAUUCCUGGUGUAGCGGUGGAAUGCGCAGAUAUCAGGAGGAACACCAAUAGCGAAGGCAGCUCGCUGGGACGUUACUGACACUGAGGCGCGAAAGCGUGGGGAGCGAACAGG